rnacentral:rRNA from 1 species
AUUGGACAAUGGGCGCAAGCCUGAUCCAGCCAUACCGCGUGGGUGAAGAAGGCCUUCGGGUUGUAAAGCCCUUUUGUUGGGAAAGAAAUCCUGUCGGUUAAUAACCGGUGGGGAUGACGGUACCCAAAGAAUAAGCACCGGCUAACUUCGUGCCAGCAGCCGCGGUAAUACGAAGGGUGCAAGCGUUACUCGGAAUUACUGGGCGUAAAGCGUGCGUAGGUGGUGGUUUAAGUCUGCUGUGAAAGCCCUGGGCUCAACCUGGGAAUUGCAGUGGAUACUGGAUCACUAGAGUGUGGUAGAGGGAUGCGGAAUUUCUGGUGUAGCAGUGAAAUGCGUAGAGAUCAGAAGGAACAUCCGUGGCGAAGGCGGCAUCCUGGGCCAACACUGACACUGAGGCACGAAAGCGUGGGGAGCAAACAGGAUUAGAUACCCUGGUAGUCCACGCCCUAAACGAUGCGAACUGGAUGUUGGGUGCAACUUGGCACCCAGUAUCGAAGCUAACGCGUUAAGUUCGCCGCCUGGGGAGUACGGUCGCAAGACUGAAACUCA